ensembl:lncRNA NTM-AS1 NTM antisense RNA 1
AGAAGCGGUGCACACAGUCCCCCUCGCACUCACUGCUGCUCCCUCAAAGCUAGAGAACCAGAGCUGAGAAGCAGAAACCCUCUCAGUGGCCUGGCCCGUGCUGCAGACAGACAGAGCGGUCAAGGAAGGCCUCAGGACCAGAGGCAGAGAGAGGAAUGGAGUGAGAGAGAUCAAUGCUGGACCCAAGAUGAUUAACGUGCCAACCUGGGGCACUGGCGCUAGGGAGAUGGUCAGAUCGAUGGAUUCCAAGCAAAUGAAGAGCCUGGCGCAUUCGGCAGCCAAGCUGUGAAGUUAAACACAGCGACGGGGCCAGGCGUUUGGUGAGCGAUGAGGGUGAUGAAACAGGACACAUAUAUCUUGGGAAACAACACUGAGAGGCCAGAUCUGGUUCUGAAAAAUGUCUUUGCUCCUUGUCACCUUUCAAAGGCAAAAUCACAGCUCUGACAAAUACCAAGAAGAAUUCCCAGGUGUGUCUGCAGCCGUGAAAAUGUGACAUGAGUCACAGUGUCUUCGGAGGAAAUGAAAGACCACAGGACGGGGACAUGGCAUCAUGAAAAAAGAUGCUUUGUGAUUUUCAACAUAUGGUGACACUUUUCCUAAUUUAGAGGGGGAAGCUGGGUUUUGAGUUUUCUUUUAUCCUCCCUCUUUGUUAAAAGCAAGAGAAAGAAGAUUUAAAGAACAUCUGUGUAUUCAAAUGAUAGAAAUAGAAUUAUACACUUUCAAAAACAAGUUCUAGUAUUUUUGUCUCUUUCAAAGAUUUCCGAAGCCUAUAGAUUUCUCUCGUGUUUGUGAGAGCAUUUCCUCUGAGACCUUAGACAUAGUGUUGAAGUUGAAAUGGUUUUUGUCUUUUUCCCCUUUCUGUUAACCCAGCCCCCACUUCAUUCUGUUAAUCUCCUUUAAUUGGACUUAAGAUAAGACUGAGUAUGUUCAAUAUUUUUAUUGAAUUGAGUUUUAUGUUUCCAGUCUGGAUUUAUAGACUGUUAAAUAGAAUGUUUUACGUUUCUCUCUCUCGCAAAGAAAAUAACAAAUACGUGUGGGACAGAGCCAUCAGUCAAUUAUAUCAGUGGAUUGUUGGCAACUCACAGGGGGAAAAAAAAGAGCAUUUUCACUCUACUCUUAGGGGAAAGCAAUUAUAUUUAAGAGCAGUAGAAAGCCAAAACUAGCCUGGAACUUCAAAACGCCUUUCUUGACUGACCAAGAAAAGGUACAGUGACUACAAUGACAAACCAGCCCCCAGCUCUUUUAGAAAUCUACCCUGCCUCAUGCUAAAGAGAAAGUAAGUGAUGUUUCAGCCUCGGCGACCAGGCAGGAAUAGAAAAAUACAUUGACAGUAGUUGGAUAGACCUUAAAAUUAAGUAAAAAUUUCUUAAUAUACAAGAUCUCAGUUUUCCCACAAACCUCCUUUCUGUCCAGAAAUUUCCAUGCCAUUUACUGCCUGAUCAUGUCAGGAAUGACGUUCUUCCUUGUUCUUGAUUUUCCUUCCUGGAAUGUUUUAAUCCUGCCUCUCCAGAACACUUUUCCCUACUUCUUCUAGGCCCUACUCACAGCAAUGUAGCUGACACAUAGCAUUAGCGUGCAAAACCUCAAAUCCUUUCUGACUUGGAACUUCACCCAGGAAAGACCUCUAGCAAAAGUGCUGGCCAUUGUGUCACAGGACAAACCCCUUUCAAAGAACAAAGCCAUCAUCAUCUCAAAAGCCACAGUCACCACCUGGACCUUCCGUCCUGAGGAAAGGAAUCUCCACCGAAUCUAGGGGGAAGACCCCCCCACCAGUCUGUGCAAAAGAUGAAGAAUUGAGUAUGCACCUACCUGUGCCCUUCCAUUUCCACCUCUUCCCACCUUCCCCGUUUCUUUUUCCGUUCAUUUUUUUUUCCACUUUAAAAACAUCCAACUUUGCCUUGGGGAUGAGCAGAAUGAAAUGUCACUUACCUAUAAAAAGAGACAGAAGAGAAAGCCAUGCAUCACAUUACACACAAGUUCUUUGAAAUCAAGGCCAGCUUCCGACUUUGAAACUGUAACAAUGAGUGAAUAUUAUUUUUUCAUCCUACCUUUCUAUAUUUAAUGAAACUCAGGAGUUCGCAAGUAGCCUAUCCCCAGGGCCCAGUCUCCCUUCGUGAUUUUCCUUUUGUUUCUUUGCCUCCUCCGUCCCUCUUCACCACCCUAGCCCCACACCCUCUGUCCCCGCUUCAUGGAUGAAAGGUCAGGAAGGAAUAAGGGGGGAGGGGUGCACAGACCCAGAGAUCAAGGCCAGCCCUCAGAUGUGGGCAGCAAGGUUUCGAGGCAUGAGGAGCCGCUUUUCACCUCUUUUCUCACAGGCCACAGAGAUGGGACCCAGGGUCAGUGCCGGCUGGUGCCUCUCGGGAGGAGGGAGGAAGGUCAGCUCCCUGCAGGGUGAUUUUCCACCUGGUGGCUUCUGGGCUCUUUCAAAUGACUCUGCUCUGAGUCUUCCUCCUCUCUCCCUCCCUCACCCUCACCCCCUCCGCCCUCCUGGUUUGGGUGUGAAUGAAUUCACCCAAGGUCUCCAUCCCCCUCUUCAUCCUGCAGCAUCUGUCUUUCAGACCUGCUUCUACAGAAAACCUCAUUAUUGCAGCACCCUGAGGCCAACAACCACCUGAAUGGGUCAUUGUGUUCAGUCCCCUGCCUCAAUACAUGAUGCAAACUGGCCCACCCGAGUCCUACGGGACACUUUGAGAACCCUGAGAUACUGAGUCCCCGCCUUGCCCGGCUCCUGGCCGCAGAGGCUCCCUGUCUUCAUGCAACAAGCUCCUUGUGGCCGACUGAUUCGGUUCUGUCGGCUGUAAGGAAGCCAGGCUCUGAGCAUUCUACUUGCAAGAACAGCCCCUCACCCACCACGCUAUGUAGCGGAUCCUUCACGUGCUCACAUAUUGGAAAAUUGGCUUCAGGGUCCUGCCAGUGUCUUCUUCUUCUUAUGCCUGAAUAACUCAUUUCCUUUUAGACUCUUCUUAAAGGUUUCAGUUUUCCAUCUUUCCUCCUCCAAGCUCCUCUGAGACCCUCCGUGGAGGACAGCUCAGAGCUAAGCCCUGGAGAGAAAAGCAGCCACGUGUCCCCCGAUUCUGUUGCUGCAUCCCCCAAAGAGAUUUCCAACCAAGAUGCUCUGCCAGAAAUGGAAUUACGGUCAAAUAUUGCAUCCCGAUCACAUUGGUAUGUUAAAGACUUGGAGAGGGUUCGAGGUAAAGAUCUAUGCUGAAACUUUUCCUAACGGUAUUUGACUCAGAAAUGUUUCUUGCUAUAUAUAAACUAAAACACCGUACUUCAGAAGGAUGACUACUUUUUCUCUCAUUAUGAAUGUAAAACUAAAUACAAUUGAGUUGGUAUUAUCACAAGCAGUGGCCAGAGGACCUUGAAGUCGAUGGCCCGGCCACCAUGCCCUAUAGAAAGCUUGGGCUGAGGGCUCAGCAUACAGGGUCUGGCUCAACUCCCUCACCCAGUGUGAUGGAGGGCCAUCCCCUUGCUCCCUGCAGCUCUCUCACCUGUGAGACAGGAGGACCCCGAAGCACCCUGCACACUAGGAUGUGGUCAGGCUGCAACAAUACUUUAAAUGUGCUUUGCAAACUGUAAAGAGCACAACACUUUAAGGGUCUGUGGUGUCAGUACCUCUGUUCUUGAGGCCACACUCAUGGGAGAAGAGAUCACUUGGCCUCAGCUGCCCUGGGAGCUGGUGAAAAAUGUGUGGUUUUGACUGUGGUCUGCCAAUGAGACAUCAGAGGCAGCAGUUCCUUGAAUAUUUCCCCUGCUCUGGACCCUGAGGGAGGGAACUGAUACCAGAGGUCUUUUCUAUCUUUAGUAUCUAUACCUACAUGUCUUCCUCUAUUGCACAGGGAUGCUCUCUCUGCCUUCUCAGUGCUUACAUCUAUUUGUUUUUUUCUUUUUGGAGUCUCGCUCUGUCACCCAGGCUGGAGAGCAGUGGCGCGAUAUCAGCUCACUGCCAACCUCUGAUGCCCUGGUUCAAGCGAUUCUCGUGCCUCAGCCUCCCGAGAAGCUGGGAUUACAGGUGCCUGCCACCAUGCCCAGCUAAUUUUUUGUAUUUUUAUUAGAGACAGGGUUUUGCCAUGCUGUCCAGGCUGUUCUCUAACUCCUGACCUCUGGUGAUCCGCCCACCUCGGCCUCCCAAAGUGCUGGAAUUACAGGCGUGAGCCACCGCGUCCGGCCGCUUACACCUUUUAAAGCUUCUGAUUCUGCUGUCUCUGCUCUGUGGCUUUGCAUCUGGGCAAGUUUCUCCGCAGACCAGGAACCUCUAAGUCGGGGGAGGAAAGAGAGGUCGCUGAAUCAGAGCAAGGCAUGCCGUCCUCGUCUGCAUCCUCUAUUACUCUUGAAUAAGAGAGAAUGCGAGGACAAACGGGCAUCAGCAUAGUGACGUGUCCAUGUAGGUUCACGAAUGUAAGAGCUGCACCACGUGGGUGUGGAAUGUUAACAGUUGGGGAGGCUGGGGCAGUGGGAAAAGGGGUCUAUGGGAAUGCUCUGUAUUUUCCCCUUAUUUUACUGGAACCUAAAACUGCUCCAAAAAUAAAGUUUAUGAAUGAAAACAAA